rnacentral:lncRNA from 1 species
UAGAUGGAGGGGGACGGGAAUUACUUUGUCUUGAUUCUGUGAGGCCCUGGUGCCCUUUUCCUUCAGAGAGCAAGUCUGCAUUCAUUAUUUGUCCCCAGUAAUCCUCACUGACAUAAUCUGUAUGACUUCUGUGCCCUUCAGUCCACCUGACAGUCUGUGGAUUAGCAACUAUUCAUUUCAUUCAUUCAUUCGCAAACAUCUAAUUGCUAAUGUUAAUUAACCAA